rnacentral:rRNA from 1 species
UACGGAGGGGGCUAGCGUUGUUCGGAAUUACUGGGCGUAAAGCGCACGUAGGCGGACUGUUAAGUCGGGGGUGAAAUCCUGGGGCUCAACCUCAGAAUUGCCUCCGAUACUGGCAGUCUCGAGUGCGGGAGAGGUGAGUGGAAUUCCCAGUGUAGAGGUGAAAUUCGUAGAUAUUGGGAAGAACACAAGUGGCGAAGGCGGCUCACUGGCCCGUAACUGACGCUGAGGUGCGAAAGCGUGGGGAGCAAACAGG